rnacentral:rRNA from 1 species
GAUGAACGCUGGCGGCGUGCUUAACACAUGCAAGUCGAACGGGAAUUCUUUUAUUGAAACUUCGGUCGAUUUAAUUUAAUUCUAGUGGCGGCCGGGUGAGUAACUCGUGGGUAACCUGCCUUAUACAGGGGGAUAACAGUCAGAAAUGGCUGCUAAUACCGCAUAAGCGCACAGAGCUGCAUGGCUCAGUUUGAAAAACUCCGAUGGUAUAAGGUGGACCCGCGUUGGAUUAGCGGGUUGGAGGGGUAUCGGCCCACCAAGGCGACGAUCCAUAGCCGGCCUGGGAGGGUGAACGGCAACAUUGGGACUGGGACACGGCCCGGACCCCUACGGGAGGCAGCAGUGGGGACUAUUGCACACUGGGUGAAACCCGGAGGCCGCGGCGCCGCGUGACGGAGGAAGUAUCUCGGUAUGUAAACUUCUAUCAGCAGGCAAGAUAGUGCCGGUACCUGACUAAGAGGCCCCGCCUAACUCCUU